AAUCCCCUACGGGGGGCAGCAGUAGGGAAUCUUCCACAAUGGACGAAAGUCUGAUGGAGCAACGCCGCGUGAGUGAAGAAGGGUUUCGGCUCGUAAAGCUCUGUUGGUAGUGAAGAAAGAUAGAGGUAGUAACUGGCCUUUAUUUGACGGUAAUUACUUAGAAAGUCACGGCUAACUACGUGCCAGCAGCCGCGGUAAUGCGUAGGUGGCAAGCGUUGUCCGGAUUUAUUGGGCGUAAAGCGAGUGCAGGCGGUUCAAUAAGUCUGAUGUGAAAGCCUUUGGGUCAAACGGAG
rnacentral:rRNA from 1 species